ACGAACGCUGGCGGCAGGCUUAACACAUGCAAGUCGAACGCCCCGCAAGGGGAGUGGCAGACGGGUGAGUAACGCGUGGGAAUCUACCCAGAUCUUCGGAACAACUGAGGGAAACUUCAGCUAAUACCGGAUACGCCCUACGGGGGAAAGAUUUAUCGGUUCUGGAUGAGCCCGCGUUGGAUUAGCUAGUUGGUGAGGUAACGGCCCACCAAGGCGACGAUCCAUAGCUGGUCUGAGAGGAUGAUCAGCCACACUGGGACUGAGACACGGCCCAGACUCCUACGGGAGGCAGCAGUGGGGAAUAUUGGACAAUGGGCGAAAGCCUGAUCCAGCCAUGCCGCGUGAGUGAUGAAGGCCUUAGGGUUGUAAAGCUCUUUUAGUGGGGAAGAUAAUGACGGUACCCACAGAAAAAGCCCCGGCUAACUUCGU
rnacentral:rRNA from 1 species